GCAGUGGAUGGUCGAUGCCCAA
rnacentral:misc_RNA from 1 species